GGGGGCGUAACGGAUUCGACGGGAUUGCAUCCGUCGUGGAGAGGCAUACCGGGUUCCGAGCACCCGUAAAACGAUCGGAAAAACAACAACUGCCAACGAUUCUUCGUUCGCAUACGCUGCCUGAUCCGGCAGCCGCUCGCGUCCACAGGCCCGCAUGGGGGCGUGGAGCGUCAUCUGGCGGGAUGGGCCCCAGGCUUCUGUCCGGAGCGCAAGGCUGACACACAAUCGGGCUGGACGGGUUCAGUCGUGUCCGUUCCGACGAACCGGUCGAGACUUUCGAGCGGACUAAGUAUGUAGGCUCUCCAUGGAGGACUAUUCCGGACGCGGGUUCGACUCCCGCCGCCUCCACCA
rnacentral:tmRNA from 2 species